CUUGUCAAUGAUGUUUCACACUGUAUGUUCGAGUUUAAUUGACCAUGAGAAAUACUUUACCAUGCACUACCAUCGGAGACAUC
ensembl:snoRNA SNORD33 Small nucleolar RNA Z195/SNORD33/SNORD32 family